AACUGCAAGAUUAAAGGAGAAAUUUCCCCGAUGGAUCCCCUUCUACCACCCUUCCCUGUCUCGCAUCUCAUUUACUGCAAAAUGCAGGACAUAUUUACUUGUCAAGUAGACUCCAGUUAAGGGAAGCAGGAUAUGGGAAAAGAGAUCCUCUCCCCAAGUGGACAGCCCAAUGUCAUAUCUCCCACCCUUCCUACCUGAUCUCACCAAAAAACGAAGCACUCUGAAAUCCUGUGACGUGGGAAG